rnacentral:rRNA from 1 species
CGGGUGAGUAACGCGUGGGUAACCUGCCUCAUACAGGGGAUAACAGUUAGAAAUGACUGCUAAUACCGCAUAAGCGCACAGUAUCGCAUGAUACAGUGUGAAAAACUCCGGUGGUACAAGAUGGACCCGCGUCUGAUUAGCUAGUUGGUAAGGUAACGGCUUACCAAGGCGACGAUCAGUGGCCGACCUGAGAGGGUGACCGGCCACAUUGGGACUGAGACACGGCCCAA